rnacentral:lncRNA from 1 species
GAACGUUUCACCCUGCAGGACAACGAGCCAGAGCCUUGCAUACCAGGGGCAGGCAUUAGACCACACCCGCUUUGACUGUUAGACUCAUCUGCAGUGUUUGUGCCACUAGUGAGAUGCGCCUAAUGGGGGACUUCAUCCCCCACCUCACCCUGGUGUAAGUAGUUUACUGGAUGGGAAUUUGGGCUCCUAGAAGUCUUCAUCUUACUAUUUAUGUACCACCUCUGAAUUGAACAGGUGUUAUAAAAGGGUAAACUGAGGCUAAAAGCUACCUCAAGAAGAUGCCUGGAGCAGGGUUCAAGAUCAAUCUUGCUUUUAGUCUCAGCCAUAAACCAUCUGAGCUUUGGGUAAGUCACUUGACCACCAGGCCGGUUUCCUCAUUAUGACAGAAUGGAAUUCUGAAUUCCCUUUCUGUUGUAAUAGUCUGAUUGCACAAUUUUCCCUUAGAGAAGUUUCAUACCUGUUAGAUCUCCUGCUGCCAGGAGCUAACCUCCUGGGAGACAGGUCUUAUCGUCAUCCAGGCAUAUAGGAGGGUGUUGGGAAAACACUUGUAGUGGAUGCUGGAUUGUGCCAUUCAGAGCCAGCUCCCUUUGCUAUUGAAGAACUUAUUUCCCUACAUGUCAAGACUUCUGCUGGCUGAUGGCCCCCAGCUGUGAGCUCUUUCAGGCAUCACCUUUGGCUGCAAAAGGCUCCCUCUCCCGAAGUUACUACCUGCAUCCCUGGAGGCAGACUUCAUCUCAUGUCUUCAUCCAAAGUUUGAACAAAUUGGCUAAGAAGGUGCUAGACAUGUAAAGGGACUAUUUUUUUUCUUAAUUCAAAUGUAGGAGGAGUAUGGAUCUCCAGGAACCAGAAGAGCUGCAUACAUAUAAACAAAGCUCCAAAUUUGGAAGCAGCAGUGAAACUCCACAGCAGUGAAAAGAAAGAAAAAAAGACUAAGCCAGGAAACCUCUUGAAGGCCCAGAGAAGUAGGCACGUAUAUAAGAUGCCCAGACUGGAGCUGCCACAUAGGAGACACUUGGUGAGCUCUCAAGGGAGAUUGGAUGUCUAUGGAGAAUCCACGUACCUAUAUCAUAUUAGUUGGAGCAAAACACAGACUCUGGGAUGA